ensembl:lncRNA
GGCAAGAAUACUGGAGUGGGUUUCCAUCUCCUCCAGGGGGACCUUCCUGACCCAGGGAUCGAACCCACAUCUCCUGUAUCUCCUGCAUUGCAGGCAAAUUCUUUACCUGAUGAGCCAUCAGGGAAGCCAAUGGAAAUAGCAAAGAGGGAGGUAGAAAAGAAAGGGCUAUAGAACCACAGGUCAUUCUCUGAACUUCUCAAGCAAGACAGGAAGCUUCUCCUUGACUUUCCCACCUUCACGUGAGUCUCCAGUCUCUGAGAGCUCCCUAUUGAUGAUCUCUGUAUGUCUGUUUUUCUCAUUAUAGGCUAGCACAAGAUAGUGAGUAUAGUUCCCUGUGCUUUACAGUAAGUCCUUGUUGUUUAUCUACUAUAUAUAUAGUAGUGUGUAUCUGCUAGUCCCGAACUCCUAAUUUAUCCCUCCCUGCCCCAUUUUCCCUUUAGCAACCAUAAGUUUGUCUUCUGUCUGUGAAUCUAUUUCUGUUCUGUAAGUAUACCAUUUUUUGGUACCAUUUGUAAAAAUUCCACAUGUAAAUGAUAUCAUAUGAUUUUUGUCUUUCUCCGUCUAACUCACUUCACUUAAUGUGAUAAUCUCUAGGUCCACUCAUGUUACUGCAAGUAGCAUUAUUUCAUUCUUUUUUAUGGUUGAGUAAUAUUCCAUUUUAUACAGGACUCUUUCCUUCUGCUGUGAACUGUAGUGUUUUCCCAGCAUGUUUCCCUGUCCCUUUUAGGAACAAUGCAUCCCCACUCCAUAGAUGCAGAUGGUCCUUAACCAGAUGCACAUUUUUAAAAAAUUCAGAUGGUGGGACUUCUCUCGUAGUCCAAUGGUUAAGAAUCCACCUUGUUAGGCAGAGGAUGAGAGUUGGAUCCCUGGUCUGGAAAGAUUCCACAUGCCUCAAAGCAACUCAGCCUGCAUACCACGACUAGAGAGUCCAUGUUCCACAACAAAAGAGCUGAGAUGAUGCAGCAGGACCCCACGGACUGCAACUAAGACCUAAUGGAGCCAAAGUCCAUGGACCACAGUGCCCCCAGCACACCUGUGCUCCUGCAACUCUGCCUCACGACCUGGACCAUGGUGCCCCCAGCACACUUGUGCUGCCACGACCUUGCCGCACAACCCAGGAUGUGGCUCCCGAGAGGCCAGAGCCAGCAGGUGUGUGACACGUGCUUUCUACACAGCCCGAGAGGUUCCCAAGUUUCUUAGAAAAUUUUUACAUCAAAGAUAUCAUGAGUUGUGGACUCCUGAAAACUAAGAUCAUGGUAUCCGGUCCCAUCACUUCAUGGCAAAUGCAAAGAGAAAAAGUGGAAGCAGUGACAGCUUUUAUUUUCUUGAGCUCUGAAAUAACUGGAUCGUGACUGCAGCCAUGAAAUUAAAAGACGCUAUGGGAGGAAAGCUAUGACAAACCUAGACAGCAUAUUAAAAAGCAAAGACAUCACUUUGUUGACAAAGGUCCAUAUAGCCAAAGCUAUGCCUUUUCCAUAGUCAUGUACAGAUGUGAGAAUUAGACUGUAAGGAAAGCUGAGCACUGAAGAACUGAUGCUUUCAAAUUGUGGUGCUGGAGAAGACUCUUGAGAGUCCCUUGGACUGCAAGGAGGUCAAGCCAGUCAAUCUUAAAGGAAAUCAACCUCGACUAUUCAUUGGAAGGACUGAUGCUGAAGCUGAAGCUCCAAUACUUUGGCCACCUGAUGCAAAGAGACAACUCAUUGGAAAAGAUUCUGAUGCUGGGGAAGAUUGAAGGCAGGAGGAGAAGGGGGCAGCAGAGGAUGAGAUGUUUAGAUAGCAUCACUGACUCAAUGGACAUGAAUUUGAACAAACUGUGGGAGAUAGUGGAGGACAG